rnacentral:rRNA from 1 species
GUUGAACGCUGGCGGCGUGCCUAACACAUGCAAGUCGAGCGAGGUUGAGGAGGAGGAUACUCUAAAUCGACCUAGCGGCGGACGGGUGAGUAACGCGUGGGUAACCUGCCCUGUGCUAGGGGAUAACAAUGGGAAACCAUUGCUAAUACCCUAUAAAGCUAGGGAUUCGCAUGAAUAACUAGCCAAAGAAAUAUCGGCACAGGAUGGGCCCGCGUCUGAUUAGCUAGUUGGUAGGGUAACGGCCUACCAAGGCGACGAUCAGUAGCCGGCCUGAGAGGGUGGACGGCCACACUGGAACUGAGACACGGUCCAGACUCCUACGGGAGGCAGCAGUGGGGAAUAUUGCACAAUGGGGGAAACCCUGAUGCAGCGACGCCACGUGAGUGAAGAAGGCCUUCGGGUCGUAAAGCUCUGUCCUAAGGGAAGAAAGAUGACGGUACCUUAGGAGGAAGCCCCGGCUAACUACGUGCCAGCAGCCGCGGUAAUACGUAGGGGGCGAGCGUUAUCCGGAAUCACUGGGCGUAAAGGGUGCGUAGGCGGCCGAUCAAGCCAGGGGUGAAAGGCUACGGCUUAACCGUAGUGAGCCUUUGGAACUGAUUGGCUUGAGUGCAGGAGAGGAGAGUGGAAUUCCUAGUGUAGCGGUGAAAUGCGUAGAUAUUAGGAGGAACACCAGUGGCGAAGGCGACUCUCUGGACUGUAACUGACGCUGAGGCACGAAAGCGUGGGGAGCAAACAGGAUUAGAUACCCUGGUAGUCCACGCUGUAAACGAUGAGUGCUAGGUGUCGGGGGAUUAUCCUUCGGUGCCGGAGUUAACGCAAUAAGCACUCCGCCUGGGGAGUACGGUCGCAAGACUGA